CCCCAAUAUCAGCGCAUCCUGCUUCGCGGGGCGGGUGUUGGGGUUUAGAACCACCAAGUGGUAGUAGUUAUAGGCUUGAAAGAAAGCCGCCGAGUGGUGGUUUUGGAGGGAAAAUCUACCAAGUUUAAAUAAAAAGUCAGGCGAGCAAAAGGUUUGCCGAGUCGAAAAGUCGGGCGAGUAAAAAAAUCACCAAGUCCAAAAUAUUACCGGCAACAUACCCGGGACUCCAAGUAAGUCGGGGAAGAAGUUGGCGUGUUUUUCCGACCAACUCAACUUGACCGAUUUACCUGCCCGACUUGCCUGAGCUCCCGGGUAGGCUACGGUUAAUUUUUGGACUUGGCAGGAAAGUAAAAAAUUUCACCAAGUCCGAAAGUUAAUCGUAGCUUACCCGUGAGCCCAGGUAAGCAAAAAUCUCACCAAGUCCGAAAACUAACUACAGCUUACCCGUGAGCUCAGGCAAGUCGGGCAGGUGAAUUCCGCCAAGUCGGCAGGGAAGGAACUGGUUAUAAAUUAAUUCAAGCAAAUCCGCCAAGUCCACAAAUCAGUCGCAGCCUACCCGGUAGGCCUAUAUGUUUCCCGUGCGAUUUCCCGCAAAGACCAAAAAGUCGGGUGUUUUAGUACUUGACUUGUAUAGGCGUGAGUCGAUUUUUUUGUUUUCCUAUAUAAAUGAAUUUUGCGGAAAAUAAAAAGUAGUAUAUAAGCACUUAGUAGCGGAGGCGAACCCUUAAAAUAGUCGGCAGGUAUAUAAAGGAGAGGGCUGGACACGCGUCGCGUUGCGUAUUUCCGCCUCGCCCAACACUUUUGGCUUUAGGGUAGGCUACUUGUUUAGAGGCGCGCUGAAUUGGAUGGUCUCUUAAGUGAGGGGAUUUCUCUGCUGGCAGUUGCUUGUGAUCUGGGAGUCCGUGGUGGUGAAGUCAACUGUAAGGCUUGUGUGUGCGUGGGUGCGUGUGCCGGGGCCCUGUAAGUCCCGACUAGGAACCCUGCAGGUCACGUGCUAAUACGAUAAGAUAAGAUAAAUAAGAUAUGCGGCACGUGUAUCAGCACGUGCCAAUACAAGUGACGAUAAGAUCAAUAAGAUACCUGGUAUAAUAAGUAAAAUACCUGCACGUGUCCUGCUCCCAAGGUCCCCGAGGUCCCCGAGGUUGCCAACCUCGCCGACUACUCCUGGCGUAAUAUGCUGGUGCAGUUGCAUAUAAUUCCUUACUGGUCUUAAUAAUAGUACACUUGUUGAUCGCGAUGCGCUCACUUGCGGUGCGGUUGUGCGGCUGCUAUCGGCUGUGGUGGAGGGUUACCCGGGACCACGGUGCAUUUUUCCGCCUUUUCCAUUUUUUCAAAAUCGACGACCAAAAGGUUGGUAGGUCUGGGUUGCCUUGCUGGCCAAUAGAAAUUUGUAUGGCGCUACUAUAGGGUAGGUAUAGGGUAGGCUGUGCCGGUACUUGAGGUCGCGCACAAAUCCCUAGCAACCCGAAGUACCCCCGCGGGCGGGCAACUUCAAACCGCUAUAGCUGCUUCCAGCGGCAUCGCACACAACUGUGAGGACCACCAUACGAUUCGUCUCGCCGAGCAGCAUCGAUUGAGCCUGGGUUGCCAAAAAGUCGGGUGUUUUGGUAUUUGAUUUGUAUGGGCGUGAGUCGAUUUUUUUGUUUUCCCAUACAAAUGAAUUUUGCGGAAAAUAAAAAAUGGAACACGAGCGCCCGGUGGCGGAGGUGGACCCUCGAGGUGGUCGGUGGGUAUGUGAGAAGGGGGCGUCGAAAGAUGCCGGGACAGCUGGGUCUUCGCUGAAAGGCAGGAUUUCCGGUGAGUCACCGCCCUCUCUGUACCAUAUCUUGCCGAGCCCCAGUGCUUGAGUGGCCUCCUGAACACGCCUGUAGAAGCUCUUUUACAGGCUGGGAGGUCACACUAGGGAUUCAAACUCCACGAAGUCGGCGGCUACGGCCGUGCGGCGUACUGGUUAUACCUCGUGGCAGUGGGAGGCACCCGCCUCUUACCGCUCAGGAGAUGGGUUCUGUGGGCUGCUGGCCGCUGGCCAACAUGCCGUAAAUCAGAAUAACGGGAGGCAACCACGGGUAGCUGACGCCGAAAUGGCAGAGGCUGCACGGAGCGUCCUCCUCUUAGGGCACCUAUACCGCACUUUACGGUGCGUGUGGACGGCUGCGCCUAGGGAAUUAGGAGGGGGAAAGCGGAUUUGCCGCUGGGCGGUCUCUCCCGGUCAAACGGGCAGGGCACCUCCCGGCGCGCAGCACCCUUUCGAGUGGGGGAAAGGUGUGCCGACCAGUAACUUGGACUAUUCUCUCCGGCGCCCGUGCUAGGGCGUCGGUAGGCCAACCCCGGCGAACGAUAGU
rnacentral:misc_RNA from 1 species